GGAGAGGUGGGUGAGCGGCUGAAACCGACGGUUUGCUAAACCGUUGAACUUGUGCAAACGGGUUCCGAGGGUUCGAAUCCCUCCCUCUCCG
rnacentral:tRNA from 1 species